AGCGAACGCUGGCGGCAGGCCUAACACAUGCAAGUCGAACGAAGUCUUCGGACUUAGUGGCGGACGGGUGAGUAACAUGUGGGAACGUACCUUUUGGUUCGGAACAACUCAGGGAAACUUUAGCUAAUACCGGAUGAGCCCUUAGGGGGAAAGAUUUAUCGUCGAAAGAGCGGCCCGCGUUAGAUUAGCUAGUUGGUGAGGUAAAGGCUCACCAAGGCUACGAUCUAUAGCUGGUCGGAGAGGAUGAUCAGCCACACUGGGACUGAGACACGGCCCAGACUCCUACGGGAGGCAGCGGUGGGGAAUCUUGCGCAAUGGGCGAAAGCCUGACGCAGCCAUGCCGCGUGAAUGAUGAAGGUCCUAGGAUUGUAAAAUUCUUUUCCCAGGGACGAUAAUGACGGUACCUGGAGAAAAAGCCCCGGCUAACUCCGUGCCAGCAGCCGCCGUAA
rnacentral:rRNA from 1 species